UAAAAAGCUCGUAGUUGGAUUUCUGGCUAGGUGAAGCGUUCCCCAAGUUGGGUGCGAUGCGGCGCCUUGCCAUCCUUCUGUUAACCUGGGAAGCCUUAACGGCGGCCCACGGGGCUCAGAUAUUUUACCUUGAGAAAAUUAGAGUGUUUCAGGCAGGCUAGCGCCGGAAUACAUUAGCAUGGAAUAAUAGAAUAGGACUUCUGCCUCUUCUGUUGGUCUGAGGGGUUCAAGUAAUGAUUAAUAGGGAUAGUUGGGGGCAUUAGUACUUAACUGUCAGAGGUGAAAUUCUCGGAUUUGUUAAAGACUAACUUAUGCGAAAGCAUUUGCCAAGGAUGUUUUCAUUAAUCAAGAACGAAAGUUAGGGGAUCAAAGACGAUCAGAUACCGUCCUAGUCUUAACCAUAAACUAUGCCGACUCGGGAUCGGGAGCGAGAGUUAUCCGCCUUCGGCACCGUAUGGGAAAUCAAAGUCUUUGGGUUCUGAGGGGAGUAUGGUCGCAAGGCUGAAACUUAAAGGAAUUGACGGAAGGGCACCACCAGGCGUGGAGCUUGCGGCUCAAUUUGACUCAACACGGGGAAACUUACCAGGUCCAGACAUAGUGAGGAUUGA
rnacentral:rRNA from 1 species